CACGUAGGGUGCAAGCGUUGUCCGGAUUCAUUGGGCGUAAAGGGCUAGUAGGCGGCUUAGCAAGUCGGGUGUGAAAACUUCAGGCUCAACCUGGAGCGGCCAUCCGAUACUGCUAUGGCUAGAGUCCGGUAGGGGACCACGGAAUUCCUGGUGUAGCGGUGAAAUGCGCAGAUAUCCGGAGGAACACCGGUGGCGAAGGCGGCUUCCUGGACCGACACUGACGCUGAGGCGCGAAAGCUAGGGGAGCAAACGGG
rnacentral:rRNA from 1 species